ACACCCAAACAGCAUGUGCAGGUAGAUACGAGUGUAAUUGUGUAUAUAAACGACAAUAUCAACCAUGACGAUACACUCUCAAGUUCAACAACAACAUGAAAGGUAUCAGCAUAACGAGCGCCAUCUGUUUCUUCGCCAUUGUCAUGGCAAUGCUGGUGUCCUAUGCCGACGCGAGCUGCUGUUGUCACAAUGGCAACCACCAAAGCCACCACAGCAGGCACGGCAUCCCCGUCCCCAUCCCCUACCCCAUCGGCGGCGGCGGGGGCGGCAGCCACUCCUCCAACAUCCCUCUCGUCAUCACAACUGCUGGAAAAUAGUUACAACGAGCAGAUGUACACAAAGCCUCCAUCAGACUUACAGACACACAGCUACAGACAAAACCCGAAAACGAAUUGGUCCAAUUAUUAUUCAUUUUCCAUGUACAUGUGUCUGAUAAAAGAAAAAUAAAUAAGAUAAAACGUU